rnacentral:rRNA from 1 species
GCUAAUACAUGCAAGUCGAGCGAACAGACGAGGAGCUUGCUCCUUUGACGUUAGCGGCGGACGGGUGAGUAACACGUGGGUAACCUACCUAUAAGACUGGGAUAACUUCGGGAAACCGGAGCUAAUACCGGAUAAUAUUUCGAACCGCAUGGUUCGAUAGUGAAAGAUGGCUCUGCUAUCACUUAUAGAUGGACCUGCGCCGUAUUAGCUAGUUGGUAAGGUAACGGCUUACCAAGGCAACGAUACGUAGCCGACCUGAGAGGGUGAUCGGCCACACUGGAACUGAGACACGGUCCAGACUCCUACGGGAGGCAGCAGUAGGGAAUCUUCCGCAAUGGGCGAAAGCCUGACGGAGCAACGCCGCGUGAGUGAUGAAGGUCUUCGGAUCGUAAAACUCUGUUAUUAGGGAAGAACAAACGUGUAAGUAACUGUGCACGUCUUGACGGUACCUAAUCAGAAAGCCACGGCUAACUACGUGCCAGCAGCGGGGGGUU